rnacentral:rRNA from 1 species
GACGAACGCUGGCGGCGUGCUUAACACAUGCAAGUCGAACGGAAAGGCCCUGCUUGCCGGGUACUCGAGUGGCGAACGGGUGAGUAACACGUGGGUGAUCUGCCCUGCACUUCGGGAUAAGCCUGGGAAACUGGGUCUAAUACCGGAUAGGAGCCAUUUUUAGUGUGAUGGUUGGAAAGUUUUUUCGGUGUAGGAUGAGCUCGCGGCCUAUCAGCUUGUUGGUGGGGUAAUGGCCUACCAAGGCGGCGACGGGUAGCCGGCCUGAGAGGGUGGACGGCCACAUUGGGACUGAGAUACGGCCCAGACUCCUACGGGAGGCAGCAGUGGGGAAUAUUGCACAAUGGGCGCAAGCCUGAUGCAGCGACGCCGCGUGGGGGAUGACGGCCUUCGGGUUGUAAAUUCCUUUCGCUAGGGACGAAGCUUUUUGUGACGGUACCUAGAGAAGAAGCACCGGCUAACUACGUG